GCCCGAUUAGCUCAGCUGGUUAGAGCGUCGUACUAAUAUAACAUCUCGACAGUUGUGUUAUAGAUAGUCUAUGCGAAGGUCAACAGUUCAAUCCUGUUAUUGGGCA